rnacentral:ribozyme from 1 species
GUAUCCUCUUUCACCCUUUUUUUUUUUUUUUUACUAUUUUUGUUUUUGCUCACGUGAUUUUUAUGCAAAGGAGUGUAAUUCAAAAAGGAAAUAACUGGAUUUUUUUACUACUAUUCAAGUACGCUUGUGGUAUUUUUUUCAAGAAAAUGAAUAAAAAGAGAAGA